CAGACCUCUCAACUUUGCAGAGAAGUUAAGAGUGAGAUUGGGGAUGUGAAUGACACCUUUGUAAAUGUCCUGGGGUCUGAAAUGGCAAUCGUACAUAUUAUUUAUGAGAGUUGGUGUUUUUUAAUGAAAUACAUUGCUUCAUAACAUCCUUUAAGACAAGGCACUUUAGUUACAAUAACUGUAUUUCUGUGACAUACAGAAUUGAGCUUUAACUUUUGUGUUCGCCAUAUUUACAUAUGCGAACUAUUUUGUAUCCAAAUUGCGGGCAAAAUGUCGGGCCGUAUAUGCAGGAACAAUAACACACGAUUAUAUAUUCGACUCGCGAUCCGUAUAAUGAUUAAAAAUGUGCAUUUAAGAAUACAAUAUUAUAUUAUUGAAAAAAUACUAUGAAACUGCUAUAUGCGUGAGAUUUACUAAACAUGGCGUGAGAGCGUGAGAGUGCAGCGAAUUGCGUGAGAGUUGAGAGGUCUGAAUUUAGCAAUACUGAAAUAGCUAGCUGACAUAAUGGCUGUUGGGAAAUCCGCUCACCAAUGAGUGAGAAACUCGAUACACUAAACUGAACGAAAUUGGCCGAACACAUUCUUGAAAGAAAAUUAAGUUUGACAAAGUUAACAGUGAAUUUGUCACCCUCUAUUUUUGGCCUAUACCAAAGGUUUGACUGCCUGGAAAGCUAGCCAGGGCAAGUCUGCUUCGCUGAAAUCCAUUUUAGUUCUAGGGAAAAAAAUUUAGGGUUGGCAAAAGGCUAUUUCAUGCAUUUUUUAUGAUAAUCUGAAAGCCAUUGAUUUGGUAUAUUUUAUGUCAUAAAUGAGACGAGAAUAUUUUGUAUGUUCCGUAUAUAACACGCGCUCAAAACUAAUGAAUAUACCUUUCCACUUGAAUGGUUUAAAGGUGAUCUACAG